rnacentral:rRNA from 1 species
GACGAACGCUGGCGGCGUGCUUAACACAUGCAAGUCGAACGGAAAGGCCCUGCUUUUGUGGGGUGCUCGAGUGGCGAACGGGUGAGUAACACGUGAGUAACCUGCCCUUGACUUUGGGAUAACUUCAGGAAACUGGGGCUAAUACCGGAUAGGAGCUCCUGCUGCAUGGUGGGGGUUGGAAAGUUUCGGCGGUUGGGGAUGGACUCGCGGCUUAUCAGCUUGUUGGUGGGGUAGUGGCUUACCAAGGCUUUGACGGGUAGCCGGCCUGAGAGGGUGACCGGCCACUGUGGAUGGGAUAUCGCGCCCAGCGCCCGCGGGGAGCGAGAAGGGGGAUAUUUGCCACAGGGGGGGGAACCGGUACCCAGCACCCCCGGGUGGGGGGGGGGGCCUUGCGGUUUGGAACCCUUUUCCCCCGGUGACAAAGGGGGGGGGAGGUAAAGGGAAAAAAAGCCCCGGAAAAGCCCGGGC